rnacentral:rRNA from 1 species
GAUGAACGCUGGCGGCGUGCCUAAUACAUGCAAGUCGAGCGAACAGACGAGGAGCUUGCUCCUCUGACGUUAGCGGCGGACGGGUGAGUAACACGUGGAUAACCUACCUAUAAGACUGGGAUAACUUCGGGAAACCGGAGCUAAUACCGGAUAAUAUAUUGAACCGCAUGGUUCAAUAGUGAAAGACGGUUUUGCUGUCACUUAUAGAUGGAUCCGCGCCGCAUUAGCUAGUUGGUAAGGUAACGGCUUACCAAGGCGACGAUGCGUAGCCGACCUGAGAGGGUGAUCGGCCACACUGGAACUGAGACACGGUACAGACUCCUACGGAAGGCAGCAGUAGGGAAUCUUCCGCAAUGGGCGAAAGCCUGACGGAGCAACGCCGCGUGAGUGAUGAAGGUCUUCGGAUCGUAAAACUCUGUUAUUAGGGAAGAACAAAUGUGUAAGUAACUAUGCACGUCUUGACGGUACCUAAUCAGAAAGCCACGGCUAACUACGUG